rnacentral:tRNA from 1 species
GCCCCGAGGUGUAAGCAUGUCGGAUUGCAAAUCCGAAGAGGCGGGUUAGUCCCUGCCGGGGCCU